CCUACGGGAGGCUGCAGUGAGGAAUAUUGGUCAAUGGGCUUACGCCUGAACCAGCCAAGUCGCGUGAGGGAAGACUGCCCUAUGGGUUGUAAACCUCUUUUGUCAGGGAGCAAUUGGCGCUACGUGUAGCGUUAUCGAGAGUACCUGAAGAAAAAGCAUCGGCUAACUCCGUGCCAGCAGCCGCGGUAAUACGGAGGAUGCGAGCGUUAUCCGGAUUUAUUGGGUUUAAAGGGUGCGUAGGCGGAAUGCCAAGUCAGCGGUAAAAUCGCGGGGCUCAACCUCGCUCCGCCGUUGAAACUGGCGGUCUUGAGUGGGCGAGAAGUAUGCGGAAUGCGUGGUGUAGCGGUGAAAUGCAUAGAGAUCACGCAGAACUCCGAUUGCGAAGGCAGCAUACCGGCGCCCAACUGACGCUGAAGCACGAAAGCGUGGGUAUCGAACAGGAUUAGAUACCCGAGUAGUC
rnacentral:rRNA from 1 species